GGUCAGGAGUUCCAAGACCAGCCUGGCCAACAUGGUGAAACCCUGUCUCUACUAAAAAUACAAAAAUUAUCCAGGCGUGGUGGUGUGCACCUGCAGCCCCAGAUACCUGGGAGGCUCAGGUGGGAGAAUCACUUCAACCUGGGAGGCAGAGGCUGCAGUGAGCUGAGAUCACAUCACUGCUCUCGUAAGGAGAUCAUUUAUGUGGAAGGACAGGCAUCUGUGAUAAAAUAAUGAUGAUAGUAAUAAUAUAGCAGCUAACAUUUAUUGAGUUCUUACCAUAUGUUAGGAACCAGGACGAGCACUUUACACGAAUUACCUCGUUUAACUUGGGACCCAGGAAGGACCUUGGCCUAAAAAUAUCUCCCUUGGCAGCUUAUACCUGCUAAAGACUCCACCAUUAGGUAAAAUCAUUUCUGUGGCUCAGGCAAACAUUUCUGCUUAUUGGCCAUUUUCAAGUUCUGGAAGUUUUUCUUUCUAUCUGACUAAAGUCCUCUGUGCUAGAAUUAAGGUUAAUUUCCCUUUAACUAGUUUUGCAAACAUAGACAGUCCAAAAUUUCCUAAUUUUAAGACAAGGUGAAAUUCACACAUACCCCCUUCCCGGGGGACUUCAUCACUGUAAAUGGCUUAUGGUUGCAGGUGAGUUAAACAAAGAUGACUCUGGAAAGAUCAUGGCCACAGUCCCUGCCCUCUGGGUGCUCCCUGUCCAAUGUGGGAGAGGGGUGUUAAUCCUAUAAUCAUGCAGGAUAAAAAAUAAAAUUACAACUGUGACCAAAAUGCAGAGAACCCUGGAAACAGGGGAUCUGGUCUAGCCUGGGGGGCCAGGAGGGUUUCCUGGAGGAGAUGCUAUUUGAAGUGAGCACUGAAGUGUGGAGGAUUUGACAAGGGGUGGGGAACUUGGCUGGGUGUGUGCGUUGGAGGAAUUGCUAGUGGCUGAUGAGGCUGAGGGGCAGGCUGGGAGGGGACCUUGAUGGGCCUUGUCAGCCACCAUGGGAACCAUCAAAGAGUUUAAGUUAAAAUUUUUUGAAAAAAUCAGUCUGGCUGUCAUGGAAGAGGAGGUUGGAAGGUUGUGUAGACCCAGGAGGAAGCUGGGGUGAUGGCCCAGAUGGGAGAAGCAGGGACCUUGCUUUGGCCAGGGCUGGGGGAUGUGGAUUCUGGAGAGAAGGGGAAGGGGUCCAGUGAUGGUCCAGUUAGAGGUCAGUGGGUUCAGGGGUGGAGUGUGCAGAGCGUGGAAGGAAAACAGAAAUGGUGACUGCAGUUUGGCUGGAAUGGUAGGGCCUUCUGGGCCCAGGUCUGGGAAGACCCUGAGUUGGGUUCUGAACAUGCUGAGGGGCCGGUAAAGUGCAGGGUGGAGCUAACAGAGGCUGAUUGCAGGGCCCAGCCUGGGGCAGAAUCCACCAGACCCCCAUUCCUCACCCCAGCACCUUCCCUGGGGCCACCACCUCUGCCAGGAGGCCAUGUGAAGACAAGGGCUGGCAUCAUGAGUAUGAAUCCAUUCUUCCUGGCAUGGCUGGAAGAUCCCAGCCUGCCCAAUGUAAGCUGGCCUUGGUGUGUCUCUGAAGUGCCGGGAAAAGCCUGGACCAUGGGGCGAGCAGGGAGGAGGCUGAACUUGGCCGUGGACAGAACUCAACCUUGUCUAUUUCAGCAUAAUUAGGUGCUUAAUUGCACUGCUAAGACCUGUUGAUGUCUGCGAAGAGGUGAUUAUGAUUUACAGCCAGGCUGCCAUGCAGGGGUCCUCUCUUCGGGGGCUCUCCAGUCAUCCUGGAGGGCUGGGCCAAAGGACUUUCUGCACAAUGCGCAAUGGAUGAAAUCUAACAGGCUGCUCCUGGAGGUGGAUGUUGGGCCCCCUCCUGUGGGAGAGGCCUCUGAUGAGGCUUUGGGCUGGGCUUCCCCAAGACAUGGAGUGUUGGGGGACUUGGAAAGACACGAGAAGACCCACCUCUAGUUUACUGUUCAGAAGGCUCCCAGAGGGGUGGGUAAGAUAUGGACUCUGUCACCAGCUGGGUGGCCUUGAGAAAAUCACUUCACCUGUCUGAGUUUCUUCACCUGCAUCAUAGGGUCAUUGUGAGGUUUAAAUAAGAUUGAUGAAGCUUGGCUGGGUGUGGUGGCUCACACCUAGAAUCCCAGCACUUUGGGAGGCUGAGGCAGGAGCAUGGGGGGAGCCCAGGAGUUCGAGACCGGCCUUGGCAACAUAGACUCCCAUCUCUACAGAAAGAUAUAAAAAUUGGCCAGGAGUGGUGGUGCAUACUUGUAGCCCCAGUUACUCAGGGGGUGGGAGGGGAUGCUGAAUUUGAAGGAUUGCUUGAGCCCAGGAGGUUGAGGUUGCAAUGAGUCAUGAUCACGCCACUGCACUCCAGCCUAAGUUCUGGAGGCUGUGAAGUCUGAGGUCAAGGGGCCAUAUCUGGUGAAGGCCUGCUUGAUAGUGAGGACUCUGGAGAGUUCCAAAUUGGCAAAUGGCAUCAUAUGGUGGUCAAGGUGGUGGGCAGCAACAUCUCCCACAAGCUGCGCCUGUCCCAGGUGAAGCCCAUGGAUGAAGUCACCUAUGAGUGCCACGUCGUCGACUUCAGCAACGGCAAGGCCCGGCCCGGCACCACAAGGUCAAGGCCUACCUGGGAGUGCAGCCAGGGGAGAACUCCGUCCUGCACCUGCCCGAAUCCCCUCCUGCCGUGCCCGCCCCACCACCCCCAAGCUGGGCAAGGAGCUGAGGAAGUGCUCGGUGGACCAGGAGGCCUGCAGCCUCUAGACUGAUGGCCCUGUCCCUGCCCACCUGCCCCACACUGUACAGAGUGCAUGAAGAGCCGCCAGACCACCGGGGAUGGACUGCCUGCGUCCAUCCGUGCCCCAUCCCAAGGCCACCUGUGGCCACCACAUUGGCCCUCUUUCCAUCACCCCUUGCUCAGCAUGUAAGCCUCACCUACCCCUGCUCUUUCAGACUCCUGUGGUGACCUGACUCAGACAAGGUGGCCCUGGGUACCAAGGGGCCAGCCGACCUGAACACUGGUGUGGGGACCAUGCUGGGGCCUAGGCCACCCCCUUCCUGUCACCAGCUUCUGUGGAGUCCAGUGUUUUGCUUUGCUUGCUUGUCCUGAGCUGGGGCCCCAGCCUCAUCUCCCUCCUCCUACCAUCCCUUGAUUGGACCUGGGGGUGUGGACAGUGACCCCUUCCUGAAUUUGGACUUGAUGCUUCUGAGCAGAACUAGGGCCUGUCCCCUGGUGAAGACCCAGGUGACAGAGUUCCCAGGAGGGACUUUUUGGGACGCUGGCUCUGCAGGGUCACUCACGGAGCCCUGGGAGGACAGCAAGAUGCCCAACCCCCUCCUGGUGGGUCCUUCCUGUUCAGCUCCCUGUGUGACCCUCCAGGGAUAGAGGGGAUCCAGGACUCACUGUCUUGUCACAUGGCGAGUCAGAAGGGGGGCCUUCCCCUCAGACUCAUGGCCCCAGGCAGAGUUUUGCACCAGCAGGACCCCUUUGAGGGUCUUCAAGGCUCUCCCAGGAGGCCCUCUCUGCCAACUCCAAGUGCCUUAGCCACCUCUUGGGUCCUGUGCUAAGUCCACCCCAGGGCCCAGGGCAGUUGGGAGCCAAGGGCCUUUUGGUACCCAAUUCCCUCACGAUUCCCAAUCAGGGGCACACCUGCCCCCUGGUUAUUUGUAAAUAUUUCUAUUGGACCCAGUUUUCCUCAGAAUUGGUUCACGCCUCUGGCUGCUGCUCAGCAAUGAUGUGGGGGAGAUGGGAGAGGCCGAGGGUUUGCCUAGGGGUGGGUUGCCCUGUAUAUGUGAUCUGGUCCGUGACUACCAGCCAACCUGAAUA